UACGAAGGGGGCUAGCGUUGCUCGGAAUCACUGGGCGUAAAGCGCACGUAGGCGGCUUUUUAAGUCAGGGGUGAAAUCCUGGAGCUCAACUCCAGAACUGCCUUUGAUACUGAGGGUCUUGAGUUCGGGAGAGGUGAGUGGAACUGCGAGUGUAGAGGUGAAAUUCGUAGAUAUUCGCAAGAACACCAGUGGCGAAGGCGGCUCACUGGCCCGAUACUGACGCUGAGGAGCGAAAGCGUGGGGAGCGAACAGG
rnacentral:rRNA from 1 species